GUGCAUAAUGAACACUCGUGAAUGUUCAACGAAGCAAUUGUCAGUGCGUCACUUCAGUUUGCGCAAAUUCUUCUCUGUUGUGGAUGGUUUUGAUUUGUUUCGUGAUAUUAAGCCAGUUUGAUAAAAACAGUUUCAAGUUUCAAGUGAAAAUGAGCGAUAAUAUCAGUGAUAUUGAACUUUCACGAGGACGUUGAUGUAGAGGAGUCUGUUGUCCCAGGCGCCCCAAUACAGGGUGCAUUCUGUGGAAGCUGCCGCGGAGACAUUGAAAACUUCACAAGGAGAGGCAAAUACCCUCUUCUUUGCUGCACAAAAUACUCAGACAAAAUCAGGUUCCGCACUUCAUUAAAUAAUUGGCGCAGACAUCUAAACUCCAGAAGUGUUGGAAAUAAAGCUGCUUCCUUAUGCUGCUGUGAAAAGGUGGCUUAUGUAUCCAGUGACCAAAUUGAAAAGGCUACCUAUUACAUCCCUAGGCCAUCUUGUGGAUAUCGAUACAUUUGAGGAACUCUUUAUGAUAAAUAUCGAAACCUGCGACGCAGUUACAUUAAGAAAGGUUACAUCAAAAAGAGAGCAAGAGUGAAGCCAGUCACUUUUUAGAUACAUGAGAGUGAAGGUUCAGAUCCUGCUCUUGUGAAAGGAUCCUCAUAAGAGGAACUUAAAUUGUGGUUGUCUUUAAAUUCUGAGCCACUGGAGCAGGUCCAAGAAAAUUGGACUAAUACUUUUCCUCUGAGGUGUCCAUCUGGACAUCAGCACUACGAGUUAACUAUCGAAGCCAGUGUCCAGUUUUCAAAACGGCAGUUGCACUAAUCUUGGUAAGUGCUCUGAAUAAUACGCAUGCGAAAUCAAGAUUUAAUUUUGAUAUUUGUUUUCAGAAGCAUUUGGAUUUUGCGAUAGUAAACCCUGUAGCAGGAUCAUUGGAAACACAUUGGAAAAUUUUUUUGCGGAAAAUUUCUUGAUCAUGUGUCUGGAAUUGAAAACAAGCACAAUGCUGAAAAUCCAAGUAAGAUUAAGAAAAAUUAUAAGGCUUAA